AUGAGUUCAAAUUGGGGACCAGAUGAAGAUGAAAGUUUCCCACCACCGGGGUCAGAGGAGGGGCACCUGCGGCAGCAGCAGCCAGACACAGAAGAUGUGCCAAAGUGGAAGUGCCUGGGCACCGGCACCCUUUAAAUCACCGAGAGCCACUGUCUUGGUUAGAUGGCUCUGGAUUAGGAUUCCCACUGGAAUAUCCCACCAUUAGCAUACAUGCAUUGCCAAAGACCAAAGUGAUUAUGAGAGCAUUUGUAUGUUAUGGGGAAUGACAAACUAGAAAAAUCCUAAGAAUCUGUUUCUGAUGAAGAAAAGAAAGACAGUGAUGAUGAUGUUGAACCUAUUACUGAAUUUAGAUUUGUAUCUAGUGUUAAAUCAGCAUUGGAAGCAAUGUUCACUGCAAUGUGUGAAUACCAGGUCUUGUAUCCAGAUCCUGGGGAUGAGGAUUCAAAUAACUACAAUGGAGAAUAUGAUGUGGAAGCACAUGAACAAGGACAAGAUGACACCCUACCAUUUUACACCUAUGAAGGAGGAUUAUUCCAUCUAACAGCAGAAGACCAAGCUACACUGGAAAGAUUAGAAGAAAUGCUUUCUCACUCUACAAGCAGCCAGUAUAAUAUAACUAGGGUUUGGACAGAUGAUUUCAUAAGAGAUUAUGAAGAUACAGAUGUUGAUCACUGA